GGAUAAGUUCAUCUCCAUUCACCCUAGCCCUUCUAAAUCUUACUUUCUAUAACGAAUUUUGUUUUACAUCUCGGAGGAAAUUCAUGUAGUGCGAAUUUGUUUUUUGUGUGUAUGCAUGCUAUAUGCACUGAAUACUUGUAACAUGCCGGCCAUACAUAUGGAUAUAUAUGCAUAGAAUUCUUAGCACAACCACCAAAAAGAGUGAAAGAGGGUGAGAACUUAGAAGACUAUAAUGUUUCAUAGUUGUUGGAGUAAAACAGAAAACAUAAUGGAUUGAAGAAUGAAGGAUUUGAAUAUGAAGUAGAAGGAUAAAAAAGUGAAGAGAGAAGAGAGAAUGUCAAUGAAUAUGUCUC
rnacentral:lncRNA from 1 species